AUCAGCCCCACCCCCACCUGCCCGGGCCACACCCCCAAGUGCCCAGGCUACCCCCACCACUUGCGCAGGCUACCACUACUACCUGCCCAAGCUAACCCUACUACCUGCCCUGGCUACACCCACUCCUGCCUAGGCUAUCCCCACCACCUGCAGCAUCUGGUAUCCCUUCCUGCUAUGCUUUCUCAGAUUGUGAAGUUACCAUUGUUCCCACCCAGCUGCUCUGGUGCUCUGGGAACAGGUAAAGGGCCCCUCUGCCCGAGAAGAACAACACUUGAGGCCAAGCCUAGUGCCACAAGCCUACCAUCCCAGAUAUUUGCCAGGCUGAGGCAAGAUCUCCUUUUCAAGGUCCACCUGGACUACAGGGUGAAUUCAUGGCCAGCCUUGGCUAUUUAGCCCUAGCUUGUCUCAAAAUAAAAAGUAAGCCAGGCAUCGCAGCUUUCCCAGCACUUGGGAGUCUGAGGCAGGAGGAUUGCUGCAGAUUUGAAGCUACCAUGGACUACACAGUGAGAUCUUGUGUCAACAAAUGAAAUUACAAGCCAGGCUUGGUGGCUCACGACUGCAAUUCAAGCACUUGGGAUGUGGGGGUGGGAGCAGCAGUAGUUCCUGGAAUACCUAAGACCCUACUUCAAAAAAGAACGAAGGGGGCUGGGGAUUUAGCUCAGUGGUAGAGCGCUUACCUAGGAACCGCAAGGCCCUGAGUUCGGUCCCCGGCUCCG
rnacentral:lncRNA from 1 species